AGUGAACGCUGGCGGUAGGCCUAACACAUGCAAGUCGAACGGCAGCACAGUAAGAGCUUGCUCUUACGGGUGGCGAGUGGCGGACGGGUGAGGAAUACAUCGGAAUCUACUUUUUCGUGGGGGAUAACGUAGGGAAACUUACGCUAAUACCGCAUACGACCUACGGGUGAAAGCAGGGGAUCUUCGUACCUUGCGCGAUUGAAUGAGCCGAUGUCGGAUUAGCUAGUUGGCGGGGUAAAGGCCCACCAAGGCGACGAUCCGUAGCUGGUCUGAGAGGAUGAUCAGCCACACUGGAACUGAGACACGGUCCAGACUCCUACGGGAGGCAGCAGUGGGCAAUAUUGGACAAUGGACGCAAGCCUAAUCCAGCCAUACCGCGUGGGUGAAGAAGGCCUUCGGUUUGUAAAGCCCUUUUGUUGGGAAAGAAAAGCAUCAGGUUAAUACCCCGCUGUUCUGACGGUACCCAAAGAAUAAGCACCGGCUAACUUCGUG
rnacentral:rRNA from 1 species